GACGAACGCUGGCGGCGUGCCUAAUACAUGCAGGUAGAACGCUGAAGAGAGGAGCUUGCUCUUCUUGGAUGAGUUGCGAACGGGUGAGUAACGCGUAGGUAACCUGCCUUGUAGCGGGGGAUAACUAUUGGAAACGAUAGCUAAUACCGCAUAACAAUGGAUGACACAUGUCAUUUAUUUGAAAGGGGCAAUUGCUCCACUACAAGAUGGACCUGCGUUGUAUUAGCUAGUAGGUGAGGUAACGGCUCACCUAGGCGACGAUACAUAGCCGACCUGAGAGGGUGAUCGGCCACACUGGGACUGAGACACGGCCCAGACUCCUACGGGAGGCAGCAGUAGGGAAUCUUCGGCAAUGGGGGCAACCCUGACCGAGCAACGCCGCGUGAGUGAAGAAGGUUUUCGGAUCGUAAAGCUCUGUUGUAAGUCAAGAACGAGUGUGAGAGUGGAAAGUUCACACUGUGACGGUAGCUUACCAGAAAGGGACGGCUAACUACGUG
rnacentral:rRNA from 1 species